UACGGGGGGAGCAAGCGUUGUUCGGUAUUACGUGGCUGAGAAGGGCGCGUAGGCGGUCGUGACAAGUCACUUGUGAAAUCUCCGGGCUUAACUCGGAACGGUCAAGUGAUACUGUCGGACUAGAGUACAGAAGGGGCAACUGGAAUUCUCGGUGUAGCGGUGAAAUGCGUAGAUAUCGAGAGGAACACCUGCGGCGAAGGCGGGUUGCUGGGCUGAUACUGACGCUGAGGCGCGAAAGCCAGGGAGGCGAACGGG
rnacentral:rRNA from 1 species